AACGAACGCUGGCGGCAGGCUUAACACAUGCAAGUCGAACGCCACGCAAGGGGAGUGGCAGACGGGUGAGUAACGCGUGGGAACAUACCCUUUCCUGCGGAAUAGCUCUGGGAAACUGGAAUUAAUACCGCAUACGCCCUACGGGGGAAAGAUUUAUCGGGGAAGGAUUGGCCCGCGUUGGAUUAGUUAGUUGGUGGGGUAAAGGCCUACCAAGGCGACGAUCCAUAGCUGUUCUGAGAGGAUGACCAGCCACAUUGGGACUGAGACACGGCCCAGACUCCUACGGGAGGCUGCAGUCGAGAAGAUUCCUCAAUGGCCGAAAGGCUGGAGGAGCGACGCCGCGUGCAUGAAGAAGGCCUUCGGGUUGUAAACUGCUUUUAUCAGGGACGAACACUGACGGUACCUGAAGAAUAAGGGGUUGCUAACUCUGUGCCAGCAGCCGCGGUAACAC
rnacentral:rRNA from 1 species